rnacentral:rRNA from 1 species
UACGAAGGGGGCUAGCGUUGUUCGGAAUUACUGGGCGUAAAGCGCACGUAGGCGGAUAUUUAAGUCAGGGGUGAAAUCCCAGAGCUCAACUCUGGAACUGCCUUUGAUACUGGGUGUCUUGAGUAUGGAAGAGGUAAGUGGAAUUGCGAGUGUAGAGGUGAAAUUCGUAGAUAUUCGCAAGAACACCAGUGGCGAAGGCGGCUCACUGGCCCGAUACUGACGCUGAGGCACGAAAGCGUGGGGAGCAACAGG